UGAAUACGAGAUGCUACGGCGUCGAAGCAGUCUAUGUCAUACUUCCAAGAAAAGCUCGCACUGUCAUAAACAAAUAAUGCCUGUACCAUAACCGACACAGGUGGGUAGGUAGAGUAUACUAAGGGGCGCGAGAUAACUCUCUCUAAGGAACUCGGCAAAAUGACUCCGUAACUUCGGGAGAAGGAGUGCCUUAUUUAUAAGGUUGCAAUAACAAGAUCCAAGCAACUGUUUAUCAAAAACACAGGUCUCCGCUAAGUCGUAAGACGAUGUAUGGGGGCUGACGCCUGCCCAGUGCCAGAAGGUUAAAGAAGUUGGUUAGCAUUCGCGAAGCUGAUAACUGAAGCCCUGGUGAACGGCGGCCGUAACUAUAACGGUCCUAAGGUAGCGAAAUUCCUUGUCGGGUAAGUUCCGACCCGCACGAAAGGCGUAAUGAUUUGGAUACUGUCUCGGAGAGGGGCUCGGUGAAAUAGACUUGUCUGUGAAGAUGCGGACUACCUGCACCAGGACAGAAAGACCCUAUGAAGCUUUACUGUAACUUGAGAUUGAAAUUGGACUUUACUUGCGCAGUAUAGGUGGGAGGCGUUGAUAAUAUUCUUGCGGGAUUAUUUGAGCCAUCAGUGAGAUACCACUCUUGUAAUGUUAGAUUUCUAACUUUGUAUCAUUAUCUGGUCAAAGGACAGUUUCAGGCGGGCAGUUUGACUGGGGCGGUCGCCUCCUAAACGGUAACGGAGGCGCACAAAGGUUUCCUCUGAACGGGUAGAAAUCGUAUCUAGAGUGUAAAGGCAUAAGGAAGCUUGACUGUGAGACCUACAAGUCGAGCAGGGACGAAAGUCGGUCUUAGUGAUCUGACGGUGCUGAGUGGAAAGGCCGUCACUCAACGGAUAAAAGUUACUCUAAGGAUAACAGGCUGAUCUCCCCCAAGAGUUCACAUCGACGGGGAGGUUUGGCACCUCGAUGUCGGCUCAUCGCAUCCUGGGGCGGUAGUACGUCCCAAGGGUUGGGCUGUUCGCCCAUGAAAGCGGUACGCGAGCUGGGUUCAGAACGUCGUGAGACAGUUCGGUCCAUAUCCGGUGUAGGCGUUAGAAUAUUGAGAGGAGCCUUCUUUAGUACGAGAGGACCGAGAAGGACAUACCUCUGGUGUACCAGUUAUCGUGCCAACGGUAAACGCUGGGUAGCUAUGUAUGGAGUGGAUAACCGCUGAAAGCAUCUAAGUGGGAAGCCCACCUCAAGAUAAGUAUUCU
rnacentral:rRNA from 1 species